GAUGAACGCUAGCUACAGGCUUAACACAUGCAAGUCGAGGGACCGGCGCACGGGUGAGUAACGCGUAUCCAACCUACCAAUUACUGUGGGAUAACCUGCCGAAAGGCAGACUAAUAACGCAUAGUAAUGGAUGGGGAUGCGUCUGAUUAGCUUGUUGGCGGGGUAACGGCCAACCAAGGCAACGAUCAGUAGGGGUUCUGAGAGGAAGGUCCACCGGAACGUAACUGCGUCCCAGUCCAAAAUCCGACGGGAGGCAGCGGUGAGGAAUAUUGGUGACUGGGCGCGGGCCUGACAACGCCACGUAGCUUGCAGGAUGCCUGCCUAUGGGUUGUAAGCUGCUUUUGUAUGGGGUUAGGUACCAUACGAAUAAGGACCGGCUAAUUCCGUGCCAGCAGCCGCGGUAAUUC
rnacentral:rRNA from 1 species